UUCAGGUUUUUUUUGUGAGAUUUUUUCAUGGUGUGGGAAUAAGACUUGGAGGUCUAAUACAGCUAGUAUAUAGAUUAGCAUCAGCUUGUCUGUAAGGAUUGAGGCUGAGAAUGGCCAUUGGAGCUGACUAAUAUGGUGACUUCAACUGUGGCUGCAGGAAAUUAUUGUGCAAUACAACUGAAACCAAAAAGAAUGUAAUUCAGACUAUUUUUGUGUAUGUUUUAAAAAUUGUAAAGAAUCUCCAUUUUCAACAAAGCUGGAAGUUGUUGGCUAAAUUGAUACUUCAUAAUUUUCCGAUUUUACUUUUAGACCUACUCUUGAUAUCUUAAUUAUGGUCAAUGUGUUAUCAAACAUUUCCAGAAGGUUAAAAAUGGAGAAUCUAAAAAAAAAAAGAAUAAUAAUGUU